rnacentral:rRNA from 1 species
UGGGGUUGGUGACGUGCGGAGGUCAUUA